GAUGAACGCUAGCGGCAGGCCUAACACAUGCAAGUCGAGGGGUAGCAGGAUUAAGCUUGCUUAAUUGCUGACGACCGGCGCACGGGUGCGUAACGCGUAUGCAACCUACCUUAUACUGGGGUAUAGCCCGGAGAAAUUCGGAUUAAUCCCCCAUAGUACUAAUGAAUCGCAUGGUUUAUUAGUUAAAGCAUUGCGGUAUAAGAUGGGCAUGCGUCCUAUUAGCUAGAUGGUGAGGUAACGGCUCACCAUGGCUACGAUAGGUAGGGGGCCUGAGAGGGUGGUCCCCCACGCUGGAACUGAGACACGGACCAGACUCCUACGAGAGGCAGCAGUGAGGAAUAUUGGUCAAUGGGCGCAAGCCUGAACCAGCCAUGCCGCGUGCAGGAAGAAUGCCCUAUGGGUUGUAAACUGCUUUUAUUUGGGAAUAAACCUCUUUACGUGUAGAGGGCUGAAGGUACCAAAUGAAUAAGCACCGGCUAACUCCGUGCCAGCCGCCGCCGUAA
rnacentral:rRNA from 1 species